rnacentral:rRNA from 1 species
AUUGAACGCUGGCGGCAGGCCUAACACAUGCAAGUCGAGCGAGCGGCGGACGGGUGAGUAAUGUAUGGGGACUGCCCGAUAGAGGGGGAUAAAUACUGGAAACGGAGGCUAAUACCGCAUACUGUCGGAUAACCCAUAUGGGAGUAGAUAGUAGGUAAGGUGAUGGCUUACCUAGGCGACGAUCCCUAGCUGGUCUGAGAGUGUGAGCAGCCACACUGUGACGGAGGCACGGCCCAGACUCGUACGGAUGCAGCGGUGGAGAAUAUUGCACGAUGGGCGCAGGCCUGAUGCAGCCAUGCCGCGUGUAUGAAGGGGGCCCUAGGGUUGUAAAGUACUAUCAGUCGGGAGGCGUUACCGACAGAAGAAGCACCGGCUAACUCCGUGCCAGCAGCCGCGGUAAUUC